AGCGUAACAUCCGAGUGGUCAAUUUGACCUCUAACGAGACCAGCCUCGAGACCGUGCGAGAUCAGCACCAGUUCCUGUAAGAUUUAGACAGGAAGUAGAUGUGUGUUUUGGGAUUUAUGCAUUUAAUGUGUUUUUGACAAAGAAGCUGGUUUAAAACCUUUGUGGAGGUGGAUAUUGAAACUUCUUAAAACUCUUGAAGGAUGAGGAAAAGGAACCAUUGAAAUGGAACAUGUUGGACAGGGUUAUCAAGAUCAUGCAUUUAUAAAAGAUGACAGAAUAUCAGCACUGCCUUAAGAUUGGAGUUGGGACCUUGUAUUUUUUACACAGAAAAUAAAGAACAGUUGCUGAAUGAAACAGAGGCUAGCAGAAGCAAAUGUAAUAAGCCCAAAAUAAUGGUGAUCAAUUUUGAAUGAUUUUAUUCUCUGGUUGAAAUGAUACUGAUCCAAUUUUAGAAGUGGUUGACAAUGAAUACUAAGUAUUUUGUUGUAUAUAAGUAUAAUUGCUUAUUUCAAAACUGUAAAAAGCUUGCAAUGCUUAUGUCAAAUGUAAUGAUAUUAUGUAGGAAUCAAUUUUUUUAAGGAUAAAAGAUGUAAUUUUUUUUUCAAUCAGAAUUUCCUAAAAAGACUUUCUAAUGUAAAUACAUGUAUGGAUAAUAGAAGAUUAUAAUCUUUUCUUUUACUGUCAUUGAAAUACUGUAGUAAUGAACUGCAAUUUUACACCAAAAAUGUUUUAAAAUGAUUUUUUAUGAAAUUUCAAAUUUCAAGGUUUUAUGAAGUUUGAAUUGUGGCUCAUGUUGCUUUUUAUUGAACUAUCUCCCUUAACCUUAGAUUUGUAGUGCAUUCUAUGUAAUAAAUUUAAUUUUGGAACAUGGGAAAGGUCUUGUUUUUAACCCUGUUGAUUUUAAUUCAAGCAGAGUAAAUGGGUUUAAUACAUGUACAUCUAUAUUUCACAAAUGAAAUGGCUAUCUUUAAAAAAUAUAUACAUGUACAUGUAUAUCUGUACAAAUAAUUGAUCUUCCCAAAGAGUUAUUUCCCAUGUUCACAAUGUAAAAAAAAAUCUAAAUGAUAUAAUAUAUAUAUUAUGCAUGACUGAUUUACAAAAAUCAAAGAGAUAAAUCUGUAAAUUUUAUUUUAUAUGCUUUAGAAAUGUCCUCAUUUUGUCCAGUAUCUGCUUUUCUUACAAGUAUUAAUGAUGUUGAAAUAAA